GCUGGUUCUAGCGGCGCACGGGUGAGUAACACGUGGGUAAUCUGCCCUGAAGACCGGUAUAACCCCGCGAAAGCGGGGCUAAUUCCGGAUGUGAUUGUUGGGGGGCAUCCUCCGGCAAUCAAAAGCUGGGGCUCCGGUCAAAAGCCGGACCUGGCGCUUCAGGAUGAGCCCGCGGCCUAUCAGCUAGUUGGUGAGGUAACGGCUCACCAAGGCUCAGACGGGUAGCUGGUCUGAGAGGACGACCAGCCACACUGGGACUGAGACACGGCCCAGACACCUACGGGUGGCAGCAGUCGAGAAUCUUUCACAAUGGGCGAAAGCCUGAUGGAGCGACGCCGCGUGGGGGAUGAAGGGCUUCGGCCUGUAAACCCCUGUCAUCCGGGACAAAAGCGUCCGGCCUAAUACGCCGGAUGUCUGAUGGUACCGGAAGAGGAAGGGACGGCUAACUCUGUGCCAGCAGCCGCGGUAAUACAGAGGUCCCGAGCGUUGUUCGGAUUCACUGGGCGUAAAGGGUGCGUAGGCGGUCGGGUGAGUCUGAUGUGAAAUCCCGCAGCUCAACUGCGGAAGUGCAUUGGAUACUACCCGGCUAGAGGGUGGGAGAGGGGACUGGAAUUCCCGGUGUAGCGGUGAAAUGCGUAGAUAUCGGGAGGAACGCCGGUGGCGAAGGCGAGUCCCUGGAACACUCCUGACGCUGAGGCACGAAAGCUAGGGGAGCAAACAGGAUUAGAUACCCUGGUAGUCCUAGCCCUAAACGGUGCACGUUUGCCGUGGGCGGA
rnacentral:rRNA from 1 species